GAGACCACUGUAAAUUCACAUGCAGUUGUAAGAAAUCAUACAGAGAGGUCCCCUAUAUGCUUUACCCAGUUUCCACCGAUGGCAGCAUCUUACAAGACAAUGGUACAGUAUCACAGCUAGGAAACUGACAGACACCCACACGACACAAAACGCUUCCGUCACAAGGAUCCCGCAUGCUGCUCUUCCCCCUUUCCCCAUUCCCUCCUUAAACUCUGGCAGCCACUCCUCUGUUCUCCUUUCUAUAAUUCUGUCAUUUCAAGAAUGUGAUAAUAAUGGAAUCACACGGUGGGACUGCCCUUCUCCACUCAGGGUAGUUCUCUGGAGCGUCACCCAGGCUGGCUCCCGUAUCGAGUCUGUGCCUCCUCGUUGCUGAGCAGCAAUCCACAGUGUGACGGAUGCAUCACGGGCUGGGUCACCCUUCCCUUGUUGAAGGACAUCCGGGUUGUUCCUGGUUUUUGGCUAUUAUCAAUAAAGCUGCUAUAAACAUUUUGUACGCACAUGUGUGUCAAUAUACAUCUUCACAUCUUAAGUUUCAGCUGUUGGAUCUAAUACCCACUUACAAUCCCAUACCAUCAGAUUUCUCUUACUUUUUCCUAGUGAUGAACGCAGCUAGUGAUGAAGGAUGUUUAAGUGUCCAACAGUUGCCCAGGAUUGGGUCUUGAGUUGCAGAAAUCUAACAAAAACCAGUUACAUGGUUCUUGCCAUCAAGAAAUUUACAGUCUGUUGGGGAAGUGACAUUAAGACACACGAAUCAUUCACAGAACUAAGUAAUGCUGCAUGUCAUCAAAUGCGAGACUGCAUGGUACAAAACUGACUUGUAGAGGAACCCAGAGACAGGAAAGAGAAGUGACAACACGAGUGUUUGGGGAGUCCUCUGGAUAAGAUGUGAGAUAUAUCUCAAAUGAUGGACACAAAUAAUGAUAUUUUAUAUUUAUUAAGGGCUUACCUACCAUCUGCCACACACUGUUCUAAGCCUUUACCUAUAUUGUUAAUUUAACCCUCAUCAUCACCCUUCAGGAUAGCUCCUAUUAUCAUCCCAUUUUCCAAACACAGCAUAUGCUAUAGCUAUGCUGAGCCUUCUGGAGGAAGGUUAUUGAUAAGUUCAAACACUGUUCAAACAAACCAGCACCACUGUUAGUAACGUAACAGGUGAGAAGUCUGUGUGUGAUGUAUCUG
rnacentral:lncRNA from 10 species